rnacentral:rRNA from 1 species
UACGGGGGGAGCAAGCGUUGUUCGGAUUUACUGGGCGUAAAGGGCGCGUAGGCGGCCAGCACAAGUCAGUUGUGAAAUCUCCGGGCUUAACUCGGAAAGGUCAACUGAUACUGUGCGGCUAGAGUGCAGAAGGGGCAACUGGAAUUCUCGGUGUAGCGGUGAAAUGCGUAGAUAUCGAGAGGAACACCUGCGGCGAAGGCGGGUU